GCCACCCUAGUCAUAGACUGUUCUCUCUGCUACCGCACAGCAAACGGUACCGGAGCGCCAAGUCUAGGUCCAAGAGGUUUCUAAACAGCUUCUACCCCCAAGCCAUAAGACUCCUGAAUAUCUGCUACUCUCUGUUAUUUUCUAUGCAUAGUCACUUUAAUAACUCUACCUACAUGUACAUAUUACCUCAAUUACCUCGACUAACCGGUGCCCCCGCACAUUGACUCUGUACCGGUACCCCCUGUAAAUAGCCCCGCUAUUGUUAUUUUACUGCUACUGUUUAAUUAUUUGCUGCUUUUAAUAAUUAAAUGUUUUUCUUAAACUGCAUUGUUGGUUAGUGGCUUGUCAGUAAGCAUUUCACUGUAAUGUCUACACUUAUUGUAUUCGGUGACUGUGACAAAUUUAAUUUAAUUUGAUUUGAUUUGAAUUCACCAUGGAUUACAUGUAUUUGUUUUCUCACCCAUCUACACACAAUACCCCAUAAUGACAAAGUGAAACAGCUGUGAGUCGUUCAGGUGAGGACACCAACACCCCCGGCUUGCAGCUGACCACACAAGAAAACAAAAAUAGGAAAGGAAAAAAAAAAAAGUGGGUAAAAAAAUCAGAUGAAGGGAAAUGGAGAGAGGCAUUUCACCCUUUGUCCCUCCAUCCCUCCCUCCAUCCCUCCUUCCAUCCCUCCCUCCAUCCCUCCUUCCAUCCCUAUCAGCACAUAGUCAGCACAAGCUGGGGAAAGAGAAGCUCCUCUCAGCCAGCGGGAAAAAAGGCUGAAUUAACUCAAUCCCAGACACAUGAGAAGCCUGGACCGACCCUCACUGUACUGCAUGGACCAGAAGAAAGAGCUGCAGCUGUAAGAAGAGAGGAAAAGGGAGAGAGAGAGAGACAGAAUAGAGAUCUCCAGCUGUAAGAAGAGAGAGAGAGACAGAAUAGAGAUCUCCAGCUGUAAGAAGAGAGAGAGACAGAAUAGAGAUCUCCAGCUGUAAGAGAGAGAGAGAGAGAGAGAGAGAGAGAGAAUAGAGAUCUCCAGCUAUAAGAAGAGAGAGAGAGAGAGAGAAUAGAGAUCUCCAGCUGUAAGAAGAGAGAGAGACAGAAUAGAGAUCUCCAGCUGUAAGAAGAGAGAGAGACAGACAGAAUAGAGAUCUCCAGCUGUAAGAAGAGAGAGAGACAGAAUAGAGAUCUCCAGCUGUAAGAAGAGAGAGAGAGAGACAGAAUAGAGAUCUCCAGCUGAAAGAAGAGAGAGAGAGAG
rnacentral:lncRNA from 1 species